AUACAGAGGGUGCAAGCGUUAAUCGGAUUUACUGGGCGUAAAGCGCGCGUAGGCGGCUAAUUAAGUCAAAUGUGAAAUCCCCGAGCUUAACUUGGGAAUUGCAUUCGAUACUGGUUAGCUGGAGUGUGGGAGAGGAUGGUAGAAUUCCAGGUGUAGCGGUGAAAUGCGUAGAGAUCUGGAGGAAUACCGAUGGCGAAGGCAGCCAUCUGGCCUAACACUGACGCUGAGGUGCGAAAGCAUGGGGAGCAAAAAGGAUUAGAAACCCCGGUAGUCC
rnacentral:rRNA from 1 species